rnacentral:rRNA from 1 species
GGAAUAUUGGACAAUGGGCGAAAGCCUGAUCCAGCGACGCCGCGUGUGUGAAGAAGGCCUGCGGGUUGUAAAGCACUUUCGAUGGGAACGAAAUGUGCCGGGCUAAUACCCCGGCCAGCCGACGUUACUCAAUGAAGAAGCACCGGCUAACCCUGUGCCAGCAGCUGCGGUGAUACAGAGGGUGCGAGCGGUAAUCGGAAUUACUGGGCGUAAAGCGCACGUAGGUGGCGACGUAAGUCGGGUGUGAAAGCCCCGGGCUCAACCUGGGAAUUGCAUUCGAGACUGCAUCGCUGGAGUACGGAAGAGGAGGGCGGAAUUCCCGGUGUAGCGGUGAAAUGCGUAGAUAUCGGGAGGAACAUCAGUGGCGAAGGCGGCCCUCUGGUCCAGUACUGACACUCAAGUGCGAAAGCGUGGGGAGCAA